CGUAGGUGGGCAAGCGUUGUCCGGAAUUAUUGGGCGUAAAGCGCGCGCAGGCGGUCCUUUAAGUCUGAUGUGAAAGCCCCCGGCUCAACCGGGGAGGGUCAUUGGAAACUGGGGGACUUGAGUGCAGGAGAGGGAAGUGGAAUUCCACGUGUAGCGGUGAAAUGCGUAGAGAUGUGGAGGAACACCAGUGGCGAAGGCGGCUUCCUGGCCUGUAACUGACGCUGAGGCGCGAAAGCGUGGGGAGCAAACAGGAUU
rnacentral:rRNA from 1 species